rnacentral:rRNA from 1 species
GACGAACGCUGGCGGCGUGCUUAACACAUGCAAGUCGAACGGAAAGGCCCUGAUUUUGUGGGGUGCUUGUGUGGCGAACGGGUGAGUAACACGUGAGUAACCUGCCCUUGACUUUGGGAUAACUUCAGGAAACUGGGGCUAUUACUGGAGAGGAGGUCCUGCUGCUUGGUGGUGGUGGGAUAGUUUCGGCGUUUGGGGAUGGACUCGCGGCUGAUCAGCUUGUUGGUGGGGUAGUGGCUUACCAAGGCUUUGACGGAUAGCCGGCCUGAGAGGGUGACCGGCCACAUUGGGACUGAGGUACGACCCAGACUCAUACGGUCGGAAACGCUGCAGAGUUUGGUACAAGGGGCGGAUGCCUGUUACGGAAACGCGGCGGGCGGGAUGACGUCUUUCGGGUUUUAAACCUCUUUCGCAUGUGACGAAGCUUGCGUGCCGUUACUAGGUAAAGACGCACCGGCUAACUACGUG